rnacentral:rRNA from 1 species
GAGCGAAGGGAAAAGAGGUUGCUCUCCUGAAGUUAGCGGGGGUCGGGGGAGUAACACGUGGGGAACCUGCCCGUAAGACUGGGAUAACUCCGGGAAACCGGGGCUAAUACCGGAUAACAUUUUGAACCGCAUGGGUCGAAAUUGAAAGGCGGCUUCGGCUGUCACUUAUGGAUGGACCCGCGGCGCAUUAGCUAGUUGGUGAGGUAACGGCUCACCAAGGCAACGAUGCGUAGCCGACCUGAGAGGGUGAUCGGCCACACUGGGACUGAGACACGGCCCAGACUCCUACGGGAGGCAGCAGUAGGGAAUCUUCCGCAAUGGACGAAAGUCUGACGGAGCAACGCCGCGUGAGUGAUGAAGGCUUUCGGGUCGUAAAACUCUGUUGUUAGGGAAGAACAAGUGCUAGUUGAAUAAGCUGGCCCCUUGACGGGACCUAACCAGAAAGCCCCGGGUAACUACCUGCCAGCCGCCCCGGUAAUACGUAGGGGGCAAGCGUUAUCCGGAAUUAUUGGGCGUAAAGGGCGCCCCGGUGGUUUCUUAAGUUUGAUGUGAAAGCCCACGGCUCAACCGUGGAGGGGCAUUGGAAACUGGGAGACUUGAGUGCACAAGAGGAAAGUGGAAUUCCCUGUGUAGCGGUGAAAUGCGUAGAGAUAUGGAGGAACACCACUGGCGAAAGCGACUUUCUGGUCUGUAACUGACACUGAGGCGCGAAA